rnacentral:rRNA from 1 species
UACGAAGGGGGCUAGCGUUGCUCGGAAUUACUGGGCGUAAAGGGAGCGUAGGCGGAUCGUUAAGUUAGAGGUAGAAAGCCCAGGGCUCAACCCUGGAAUUGCCUUUGAUACUGGCGAUCUUGAGUAUGGGAGAGGUAAGCGGAACUCCGAAGUGUAGAGGUGAAAUUCGAUAGAUAUUCGGAAGAACACCAGUGGCGAAGGCGGCUUACUGGCCCAUUAC